UCGAAAGGCUAACACACACAUUAAAACCCAACUGUUCGGGCAAGCCUGGUGGUAGAUAAUUUUAUAGGAAAACUAAGUGUCAGUUUAUUAUUACUAUUAACAUUACCACUGUUUUUCUACUUAAAUCUUGAGGUAAAAAACCCAGUUUGACUCUAGUCUCUAUCAACAGAUUUAACCCUGUAGAAUUUAAAAGUUGAGUUUUUUAUUAAUUCAAUAAUUGUGUAGUAACUUGUCAAAGGGGAGUUACUUCAAGAUUUAAUCUAAACCAAAGUUUGAGUAAAACGUACACUUAGAGAAAAACAGGGGUAAUGUUUUCGAGAUAAACCAGUUAUAUGAAGAGAAACUUUUAUCAUUUCAGGCCUGAUUGUCGACAGACUUUACUUCUUUUAGUUUGUGUGAAUCGAAAACAAGAGCGUUCCUCAUGCCUGCAUUAUACCCACGGGGCUAUCCAGUGGCGCUGAAAUAUUCAUACAGGGAAUGGUACCCAACAUCCCCGUUAGCUUUUCGAUCGGCCUACAGUGGGUCACUGAUCCCAAAGCUGCGAACAUCCUAUUACACUUACAAGACGCCGUCACUGUGGUACGGAACUCACGUGCCGAUAAGUGGGAUAAGAAGGAGAGAGAUGUCGAUACCAAUUUCUGUCCCACUCCGCCUUUCUUGGUGGUCAUCAGUGCCUUCUCGGUCGGAGCUGAGGUAAAA